GCCGGCUUCACCUCUCACUGGCACUCACCUGUGGCGCCUAGCCCAGGCACUCCAGCAGCCCAGUGGGAGCUCUUCCCCCAAUCAAGCCCAGCAGCUGCUGGCCAGCCACGCCCAGUGUGGGGACGCCAAGCCCCCGCCCACCCGGAACUCUUGACGGCCUGCGAGCGCCACCAGAAGCCCCGGCUCCCGCAGGCGCCUCUCGCUCCACACCUCCAUGCAAGCAGAGGGAGCCGGCUCCAGCCUCGGCCAGCCCCAGAGAGGGGCCCCCACAGUGCAGUGGUGGCCAGAGCGGAUGCCGAGGCCCAGGAGAGGCCGAGAGUGAGCCAGGGCUGCUAGCACGUUGUCACCUCUCACUAACACCAGAAGAGGUGGAGAUGGUCCAUAUUUACAACAUUUGUUGCAGACAAUGAGACAAAUGUAGUCCAUACUCCACAAAUUGCCAGAAGUAAUGUUAUUUGACCCAACAGGAGGGAGAAAGCGGAAUUUGUGUGGAGAGUAAGAUGCUGAUGUUUGGAUGUGCAGAGAAGAGUUUCCAUAUAGCAGGAAAAGCCCUUUUUCCUUUCUCUCCAGCUUGUAAGGAAGAGUCUAGAUAUUCCCACAUAGCACUAAGUUCUUCUAAGGGACAAUACUGGAAAAAGAAGAAAUCACAAGCUGGGGAAAAAGGUAUACCAGAGUUUAGUUUUGAGAAGGGAUGCAGUGCUUGAGAGAAGAAGCUAUCAUCCACAUGAACCAUGAGGUAAAGAGACAGAGUUUGGAUGGAGGAAUUUAAAAUAUAAUUCCUUUUUAUUAGUAAUAUUCUUUCUGUCCUUUGGUAUUUAUUAAAAUAUUGAGUAGAUUAUAACUGAUUAGAUGAGAUUAAAGGUUCUGGGUUUUGUUUUGCUUUUUGUUUCUUGAUUGCUGUUUCUUUGAAUGUAAUUCCAUAUGGUAACUAAGGUCCCAUUUUUAUUUUGAUUAUAUUCUUGAUAAUCCAAACAAGAUAAAAUAAGGAACUAACCUAGGCUGUCGCUGUAAUAAUUUUGAGAAUGGGAUACAAUGAAUAUUUACAUAUUUCAUUAGACAGAAUAAGAUAAUUGCCUUGGACAUAAGGAAAGAAGACAAAGAAAUAAUCUAAGAUGAUUACCUAGGUUAGUCGAUUGGCUCAGUGAGAAUAGCAACAACUACGGGGUUUGAGGAAGAAAACUAAUAACCUAAGUUGAAGACAACCGGUAGGCAAUGGGAUAUCAAUGUUUGCAGCUUAUGGCAGAGUCAGAGCCAGAACUUCCCCUGCAUGCUGGUGAAAAAUAAACCCAUGGGAAGAGAUGAGAUUCCCUAAGGCAGACGAAUCAGUUAGGAUCUCUAGAGGAAUCCAAGGGCACCCUGAGAUAGUUAAUUGGACAAUAGUUAAUUAAAAUUCUAAAAUGUUAGCCACAAUUAAUAUUCUUCAGAUAAUGUAGCAGUGCAAAAUAAAGAAAAUAGCUAUCAACUAUUAGUAAUAACAUAAGUUAUGUUAUCAUUAGCAUAGCAACUAUGCUAUGAUUCUUUGCUUUCCUUAUCCUGUGCCAGCCCUUUUACCUAUGCAGAGUUUUGGAUCUGAUGGAGUGACUCAUACGUUUAUUCUCAUAGAUUCUAAGCAAUUGGUGGUCAUGUCUUAGCACAUGGAUUAGCACUGUUUUCUAAGGAUAAUUAGGCAAGGGAGUUUCAAGUGAUACCCCAGUGAUGCCUCUAAGUUCCAAACACAGUCUUUUUUAUUCUACUAAGUAACAGUAACCCAAUUUGUUUCUAGUUAUUGUGACAAAUCACCCAGGAGAGUGUAGUGAUCUCCACCUUCUCUGCCUGAUGGUUCAGCAGCAUGAGACGCCCAAAAUGUCCUGGGAAUUGUUUUGGCUUCCAGUUCAUUGGGAAGAUGUUGAUAUUGACUCAUGGAAGCAUUUGGGCAUUAUGACCUUCAAAUUAUUGAACCACAUUAUUUGGGACAGGACGCAAAAUUUCUUCUACUGUGUGAAUAAUUGGGGCGGGGGGUGGGGGCGCUAACCAUUUUGAUUCCUGCUUUCAAUACCAGAACUUUGGGAGGUCAAGGUGGCAGGAUUGCUUGAGCCCAGGAUUUCAUGAUUGGUCUUGGAAACAUAGUGAGAUCCCAUCUGU